rnacentral:lncRNA from 1 species
GGGUCCCAGGGGGGUCCCCAGGCCGGGGGUCCGCUCUCACCGCGCAGCAGAGCCCUCACGAAGCGCCCGGCUCCCGGCACCGCCAGCCACCAACUCCCGGCAUCGCGCACGGUCAGGAGCCCCGCGGCCACCAGAGCCCUGCUGGGGCCACCAGAACCCGGCUGGGGCCACCAGAGCCCUGCCGGGGCCACCAAAACCCGGCUGUGGCCACCAAAACCCGGCUGUGGCCACCAAAACCCGGCUGUGGCCACCAAAACCCGGCUGGGGCCACCAAAACCCGGCUGGGGCCACCAAAACCCUGCUGUGGCCACCAAAACCCAGCCAUGGCCACCAGAACCCGGCUGUGGCCACCAGAACCCGGCUGGGGCCACCAAAACCCGGCUGUGGCCACCAGAGCCCUGCUGGGGCCACCAAAACCCUGCUGGGGCCACCAAAACACGGCUGUGGCCACCAAAGCCUGGCUGUGGCCAUCAGAACCUGGCUGUGGCUACCAGAACCCGGCUGUGGCCACCAGAACCCGGCUGUGGCCACCAGAACCCCCCAGAGCCACCCUGGGGGUCCCAAACCCCACCCUGGGCUGUCCCCAGGUCCCCCCAGGUGUCCCCAUGACCCCCAGGUGUCCCCAGGUGUGUUCCAGGUGUGUUUUUGGUGUCCCCAGGUGUCCCCCCAUGACCCCCAGCUGUCCCCAAAUGUCCCCAGGUGUCCCCAGGUGAGGUUUUGGUGUCCCCAGGUGUCCCCAGGUGUGUCCCCAGGUGAGGUUUUGGUGUCCCCAGGUGUG